rnacentral:rRNA from 1 species
GUGGGGAAUUUUGGACAAUGGGGGCAACCCUGAUCCAGCCAUUCCGCGUGAGUGAAGAAGGCCUUCGGGUUGUAAAGCUCUUUUGUCGGGGACGAAACGGUUUCACCUAAUACGUGAGACUACUGACGGUACCCGAAGAAUAAGCACCGGCUAACUACGUGCCAGCAGCCGCGGUAAUACGUAGGGUGCGAGCGUUAAUCGGAAUUACUGGGCGUAAAGCGUGCGCAGGCGGUUUUGUAAGCCAGAUGUGAAAUCCCCGGGCUCAACCUGGGAAUGGCAUUUGGGACUGCAAGGCUGGAGUAUGGCAGAGGGGACUAGAAUUCCUGGUGUAGCAGUGAAAUGCGUAGAUAUCAGGAGGAAUACCGAUGGCGAAGGCAGGUCCCUGGGCCAAUACUGACGCUCAUGCACGAAAGCGUGGGGAGCAAACAGGAUUAGAAACCCCAGUAGUCC